rnacentral:rRNA from 1 species
GACGAACCGUGCGAACGUUGUUCGGAUUUACUGGGCGUAAAGGGCGCGUAGGCGGCCACCGCAAGUCGACUGUGAAAUCUCCGGGCUUAACCCGGAAAGGUCAGCCGAUACUGCGGGGCUAGAGUGCAGAAGGGGCAACUGGAAUUCUCGGUGUAGCGGUGAAAUGCGUAGAUAUCGAGAGGAACACCUGCGGCGAAGGCGGGUUGCUGGGCUGACACUGACGCUGAUGCGCGAAAGCUAGGGGAGCGAACGGG